AACGAACGCUGGCGGCAGGCCUAACACAUGCAAGUCGAGCGCGCCCUUCGGGGUGAGCGGCGGACGGGUGAGUAACGCGUGGGAACGUUCCCUUUUCUACGGAAUAGCCUCGGGAAACUGAGAGUAAUACCGUAUACGCCCUUUGGGGGAAAGAUUUAUCGGGAAAGGAUCGGCCCGCGUGGGAUUAGGUAGUUGGUGGGGUAAUGGCCUACCAAGCAGGAGAUCCAUAGCUGGUUUGAGAGGAUGCUCAGCCACACUGGGACUGAGACACGGCCCAGACUCAUACGGGAGGCAGGAGUGGGGAAUUUUAGACAAUGGGGGCAACUCUGAUCGAGCCAUGCCGCGUGAGUGAUGAAGGCAUUAGGGUUGUAAAGCUCUUUCAGCUGGGAAGAUAAUGACGGUACCAGCAGAAGAAGCCCCGGCUAACUCCGUG
rnacentral:rRNA from 1 species